GGGAAACUAGUAAUCAAGGGGGUCCUUAUAGGGGCUGGAUCGACUCCUUUAAAAAUUUGAAAAAUUGACAUUUAAAUCUUUCAAAAUUUUUAUAAAUUUCGAUUAAGCCUUUUCAAGAAUUUUGAAAUUUUUUGUUAAGUAAUUUGAUUUUUUUUUUGAUUUUUUUAAUUAAAUUUUAAAAAAUUAAUGUUAAGAUCCGUCAUUACGGAUAAUAUUGAAUUGAGU
rnacentral:lncRNA from 1 species